UUCCCUUAUCCAGAUCCAACCCAGGUUUUCCCCUCUCCACAUGAUUUGUCACCACCCAUCACACCGCCCAUUUCACCAUUUAUCCAAUCACACAUCCCCAAUCAGAGUAUAUAAGGUCCCCUGACUUCUCUCUCCUCAGUUGUGUGGGAGAGGAGCCAGGGGACAGAGCUUGAAGAACCAAACCCGGUAUGCAACAUUGUCACGUGUGCUUUCAAUACACCAAAACACUGCUGAACUGGCCAGGUGCCCAAACUUGGGUUCAAAUUGAUGGCGAGCUAGGAACUGUCCUUUGAGAGCUUCGGUCUGGUAGGAGGCUAAUCGCCUAUCCUCGCUCUCCCACCUACUCCAGCUACCUCCACUACAUAACUAUUCAAUCAA